rnacentral:misc_RNA from 1 species
GAUGAAGAACGUAGCAAAGUGCGAUAACUAGUGUGAAUUGCAUAUUCAGUGAAUCAUCGAGUCUUUGAACGCACAUUGCGCCCCCUGGUAUUCCGGGGGGCAUGCCUGUCCGAGCGUCAUUGCUGCCCUCAAGCACGGCUUGUGUGUUGGGCCCCCGCCCCCCGGUUCCCGGGGGGCGGGCCCGAAAGGCAGCGGCGGCACCGCGUCCGGUCCUCGAGCGUAUGGGGCUUCGUCACCCGCUCCGUAGGCCCGGCCGGCGCCCGCCGGCGACCCCCCCUCAAUCUUUCCAGGUUGACCUCGGAUCAGGUAGGGAUACCCGCUGAACUUAAGCAUAUCAAUAAGCGGAGGA